rnacentral:tRNA from 1 species
UCCCAGGUGGCUCAGUGGUAAAGAAUCUGCCUGUCAAUGCAGAUGACGUGGGUUCAAUCCCUGCGUUGGGAA